CCUACGGGGGCAGCAGUGAGGAAUAUUGGUCAAUGGGCGCAAGCCUGAACCAGCCAUCCCGCGUGCAGGAAGACGGCCCUAUGGGUUGUAAACUGCUUUUCCAGGGGGAGAAACUUGCGCACGUGUUGCGCAAUUGACGGUACCCUGGGAAUAAGCAUCGGCUAACUCCGUGCCAGCAGCCGCGGUAAUACGGAGGAUGCGAGCGUUAUCCGGAUUCAUUGGGUUUAAAGGGUGCGUAGGCGGACUAUUAAGUCAGUGGUGAAAUCCUGCAGCUUACCUGCAGAACUGCCAUUUAUACUGAUAGCCUUGAGCUUUGUUAAGGUAGGCGGAAUGUGUAAUGUAGCGGUGAAAUGCUUAGAUAUUACACAGAACACCAAUUGCGUAGGCAGCUUACUGAGCCGACACUGACGCUGAGGCACGAAAGCGUGGGGAUCGAACA
rnacentral:rRNA from 1 species